GAGCUCAAUUCAGCGGCACAUACAUAAAAACUGGAACAAUCCUGAGAAGAGUAGCAUGAUGCCUGUGCAAAUGAGCGAGGCAUUUCAUAGUUUU
rnacentral:snRNA from 1 species